rnacentral:rRNA from 1 species
AUGACUCUGCAUCUGGAAUUCCUGGAUACCUCCAAAUCCUACGCAUACAGAACUGGACCCCCUCAGAUUUUCUCAAAGAAAAAUGUAGACACCCUUCAAAAGGGUAGACUGGUGGUAUAUGCCCUCACAAAACAACAGUAUUGUAUAUAUCUUGUUAGAAGCUGCAAAACAGAACGAGGAAGUGUGGAGUUGAGCAGUGGCAAGGAGAAAGAGCCAGCUUGCCUGCUCGUUUUAAAUGGUGUCUCAGUUAUCCUUGCAACCAUGUAUUCAAUGGUUCACUCAUACGGAGUAGUACGUAUAAUCUUCACAUUAAAGCUCACAUCAUGGUCUUGA